AGUAUGCUGGCUCUCGUGGAAGAGUCUGCGUCGGGGGGAGCCAACCGGCUCCAUCUGAUAGUCCUGGGUUCUGGAGCCCAGUCUGUCUUUCACCGACCCUCUCACCUGAGUGGUCUGGUGUAUUUUGGCCUUUUCACGGUCGGAAACUGCAUACUCCACACUCGCCAUAGUUUCUUCCCUGAAAAGUGUUCAAUUGUGAUUGUUAUUUAAGCCCCCCUCCUUCUAGCGCCAAUGUUAACGCCAAGUUUCGCCGGCACGUCCAAUCACAGAAUCCACGCGCUAGAACCUGCACAAUAACGGAUCACACAGAAGCUUGACGGCUUGUGCCGCCGGGGGACAGCUCCGGUGUGAGAAUGAGUACAGGCCGUUACAAGGUUUAACAAUGGAGGAUAAGUAUUUAGUGCUUAAAAUAGGUAUUACCUCAUAAUGAUAACCUAGGCCUCAUAUUUAUAGUACUCACCACCUUAGAAUCCUUCUCCCAGUCGGAUUAGGACUCCUAGUGUAUGGUAGUUACCAUAACUUGGGUCCAACACAAUCUCCUUAAAAGGUGCAAGUAGAGUCCAAUCUCAUUACCACCUUUGGAGUUACCUUAUAUGCAUACGAAUAGGUACCCGGACUCUGCACGCAGGAGAGCCCACUGUGCAGGCCCAAACGGUCCUAUAAUCUAAUCUGGGCUUCGGCCCAAAGAACUCAAAGACCCG
rnacentral:lncRNA from 1 species